rnacentral:rRNA from 1 species
GAGUUUGAUCGUGGCUCAGGAUGAACGCUGGCGGCGUGCUUAACACAUGCAAGUCGAACGAAGCGCCUUAUUUGAUUUUCUUCGGAACUGAAGAUUUGGUGACUGAGUGGCGGACGGGUGAGUAACGCGUGGGUAACCUGCCCUGUACAGGGGGAUAACAAUCAGAAAUGACUGCUAAUACCGCAUAAGACCACAGCACCGCAUGGUGCAGGGGUAAAAACUCCGGUGGUACAGGAUGGACCCGCGUCUGAUUAGCUGGUUGGUGAGGUAACGGCUCACCAAGGCGACGAUCAGUAGCCGGCUUGAGAGAGUGAACGGCCACAUUGGGACUGAGACACGGCCCAAACUCCUACGGGAGGCAGCAGUGGGGAA